GUUGUUUCCUCCUCCUCCAGGAGCUGCUUUGCGACCCAGCAGACACUUUUGGAUGGGAAAUCUUCUGAUUCAAAGAUUGUGGGGAAAUGUAUCUUUCUUCGGGUGCGCCUUGAUACUGGAAGCAGACACCACUGGAGCUUUUGAAAUCCUUCUCCUGCCCCUUCUUUUCACUUUGUGACAAAGAGAAGCAGCGGAAAAUGUCACCGUGCGGAAAGUAAGAAGUCGCGUUGAUGACGCUGAAUUAUUAUCCAUCCAACAUCUGUGAAUCCUCCGUGCAGACGAACAAAGCCAAUGAUGACAAAGUUUAUCACAAUGCAAAUCACGUCGUCCUUCCAGCUCCUCACUCACCGGGAGGAGCUUCUCCCUCCGCGUCGGUGCCAAUUCGAACCUUCUUCGCUUCUCUGCGUCUCCCCCCUGAC
ensembl:lncRNA